CAAGAAAGCAGACACCACGACAGGAGACAGAAGAGUCGCCAACAAUUUAGCGAGGAGUACCUGAGGAAGAUGCCGAGGGGUGGAUGGCCACGGGUGAUUGUGGUUGCUGAUGGUUCGUGUGGAGACUCCUGCUCGGUUCUGGGCAUCAGCGCUGAUUACAUCGUAGAAUCAUGUCGCGCUUACGGCGCCAAUGCUACUAUAGAAAGACUGGACCAGAGACAGGUUCCCACACCUGAGAUCCGUGCACAUAGUUUGUAUUUUGAUCUGUCGGCAUACGGGAUCGACACUGUGAGGGAAUCACGCCGCUCCUCGCAGCCGGCAGCGAAGCCUGGAUUCCAUCUGAAGAUCUACGGAACGUUCCGGAACCGCUACAUGGCUCUGGCCUGCACUUCGGACGCAGACUCCAAAAUGAUGCAUUUCCUGCGCCACACGGCCAACUCUUCAAUCAUGAAGAACAUCUUCCACCAGUCGUUUAACGCGUAUAAGACAGACAUCGAGCCGCGUCUGCGUGAACUCACGCUGCACCACAUGCAGUGCAGCCGCAAGCUGUUCGAGAUCAUGCUGUCCUACAGACGCGUCAGCGCCGCUUACAUCGAAGGAGACAACGUCGCCGUGACUGUGGAAGGAGAAGCUGCGCGAGUGCUCAACUUUGACACUGGUUGUGGUGUGAAUCUGGGCAUGAGAGGACUGGAGUCUCUGGGAAUGUUCAUCUACAGAACGGCCACGGCGCUGGACCAGAACGACGUGUUUGAGGCGCUCUCGGCCAAAAUCCAGCACUCCAGACACGUGGCAGAGACUUUCAGGAAGAGCGGACUGGCCUCGGCAGUGUUUGAAUGACCCUGAGCGUGAGUGUUUUGAGGGGAGUUAUAAACUUACAACUAGAGCCUGACCGAUAUUAGGGAGUAAAAAAAGGCAGAUAUUGAUAUAUCGGCCGAUAUUCUUUUUGUAUAUUAUAGUACAGUAGUCAAAAGUUUGGACACUUUCCCAUUCGAGGAUCCAAACAUUUGACUGGUACUAUAUAUAGAAUACAGUAUAUACAUAAACAGAAUAUAUAUACAUAAACACAUUUUUUGCAAUGAUCACUCAAAUUUGGUGUGGAUUCGCCGCAGUGGAGAUAUGGCCGUUCAAAGUUUCAAUGGUUUUCCAUUGACUUAAGCUUCAAAAACGUUUCAUCCAAGUCGCCAGUAGCAAACAAUGGAGCGCGCUCUGCUGGACAAACUAAGUAAUUACACCAUUUCAAGCAUUUUAUCUGCGUUAUAUGCUCUGUAAAAAAAAAUUCAUAUCGGCGGCAUAUUCUCCGAUACCGAUAUAUUGGCGACAGGCUCAUAUCGUCCGAUAAUAUCGGCAAAACGAUAUAUCAGUCAGGCUCUACUUACAACACAAAUUGAUCUAUUUUGUGAUCGUUUUUGGAAUGUUGAAUAUUCAAUGCACAUUGGAGUGACCAAAGUUUGUGUAUUAGCAUUUCAUUUGUGAAAACAAUUAGGUAAUUAUUGGUGUAAUGUGAUGAUAAAUAGUGCAUUGUGUUUUUGAGUAGAUCUUGUCAAAAACAAGAACCGGAGACCGAUCCAGCCUAAAAUGGCCACAAACCUUACUGAAGAUACAGUGACCAUAAAAAAAAGAUACGUGGAGUCUUAUAAAAAUAUAAAAGCCACUGCAUUAGAUAAUAAAAUAUCAAAGCAAGUGUCCUAAUUAGUGCAGUGUUAGUCACCAACAGACUCUACUGCUACAGGACGAACAAGUCAGACUAUGAUGUUGACUAUUCACUAUGAAAUGAAUACUAGCAAAAAUGAAUAGGUCCCAGCAAUAGUUUAGUGUGAAUCACUAACAGACAGCAUCAUCAGAUCUGUAGAAAUUAAGUGCCUGGCAGAAAUCACAUUCAGUUCAUGUUACAUACAGAAAUAAAGAUGUCUAUUUAUUUUGUGAUAUUUGUUAAUAAAAUGAAGUGUU
ensembl:lncRNA